GCCAGUGUGGGGUAGUGGUUUAAACGUUGAGUAUGACUCUAGAGACCGGGGUUCAAAUCCCAGCUUGGCCA